GGGGCGACCCUGCCUUCGGGCGGGGGCUCCGGGUGGACACUUCAAACUCUUGCGUAACUUUGCAGUCUGAGUAAACUUAAUUAAUAAAUUAAAACUUUUAACAACGGAUCUCUUGGUUCUGGCAUCGAUGAAGAACGCAGCGAAAUGCGAUAAGUAAUGUGAAUUGCAGAAUUCAGUGAAUCAUCGAAUCUUUGAACGCACAUUGCGCCCCCUGGUAUUCCGGGGGGCAUGCCUGUUCGAGCGUCAUUUCACCACUCAAGCCUCGCUUGGUAUUGGGCAACGCGGUCCGCCGCGUGCCUCAAAUCGACCGGCUGGGUCUUCUGUCCCCUAAGCGUUGUGGAAACUAUUCGCUAAAGGGUGUUCGGGAGGCUACGCCGUAAAACAACCCCAUUUCUAAGGUUGACCUCGGAUCAGGUAGGGAUACCCGCUGAACUUAAGCAUAUCA
rnacentral:rRNA from 1 species